UACUUUGGAAGUAGCUGAAGUUGCUCCAGAAACCCUCAGGCUGCUUCUGCAAAGACAGCUCAUAUACUACGUCACUUCAUAUAUGUUGAUAUAAUCCGUAUGAAACAUGCAAAUGUAACAUUGCUUUGCAGAAACGUACAAUAGCAACAUUUGUUCUUAUGACUGGGCUGACUGAGCGGCUCGUGGUUACUCCCCGUGAGAGAGCUGAGAGGUCUCAUUUAUAAAACAGGGCACAGGAUCCACAAACGAAAGCCAAAAAUGGUGUGCGUCAGAAAGUAUUCAACAAUUUCUACAAUCUUCCAUCUCAUCACCUGUGUCGCCAAUUUCCCGUCUCCAAAAUGUUUGUAAGCAUCUCGGCAGGAGGAUUCUCCCAUCGUUUUUUAUACAUCGCAAUAUUUGCAUAGGAAGUGGCGUACGCUUCUUUCAGGCCUGGUUUUGUGCAUAUGCAAUGUUUUGAAUGAGUCCCCAGAUGUCCUCAGGCUAGCUAGACCUGUUUCAGUCCCGAGCCAAGAGCUCCUCAGUAGCAGUUUCUAAAGUGCCAAAGCUGAAAAAUCAGUUUGCAGAAAUGCCUCAGAAAGUUCCCUCUGAAUUUACAGGAAACAUAAUUCCAAAGAGUUAAUGCAGGUUUCCAAUUUGAAAAGUCUAGGACCACUACUAGCUUUUUCCAGAGCUUUAAAUUGCAUCUCAUGGCCUUCCUCAUCAGAUGUGAGUUUGUUUUGCAGUCAUAGAAACAGCUCAGGUGUCAUCACCAGACCUCAACAAGCAGAUGAAUUUAAGUAAUCAAAUUCAAUUUAGCUUCAGAAAUUUAUUACAAAUUUAGAAUUACUAUUAACGUUAAUGUGUAAAACAAAUUCAGAUGUGCUCAAUUCAAAUGUAGCUGCAGGCACAAGUGAAGAGUGAUUCAACACAGGCUGAAGUCUUUAGGUGUAAUUGAGUCCAAUCAGCCUGUUGAGCUCCAGCUGUUGUAUCAGCAGCCUGCAGGCCUGCAACUGUUAACAGAGAACUUCUAAAGUGAACUGCGAGGGAACAAACCCGUGAAACACAUCCAGCCAUGACCUUACAGCUUAAAACUGAAGCUCGACUCUUUGACCUGCACUGCUCUGUCGGGCUGACGGACUGGGACAUGGACAAGGAGCUGAAACUGGCAACGACCACAGACCAGUUUUACCACGAUGACAAACUGAAUGAUCAGUACGUGGUCCAGAGGCCGUCCGCAAGAGCCUCAAGAAGAAAAGAUGAAUUCAUUUGGUACGAUAAAACAUCAGACACCUUUGUGAAGCCAAACCUGUGGCUGCUGGUGAAUCCCAACAUCGCCUGCCCGAUCCAGUACGGAGGACAUACGGCAGAUCCACAAACUCUCUGUGAACCUGCUGAGGAAACACAGACACCUUCACUGAACCCUGCAGAGACCCAACGUCAGCUCACCACAGAGCGCAACAUGUUUACCCCCCAUUAUGCUCCUCUUCAGAUAAAGAACGAAGGCGUCUCCUGUCAACCAGCCAAGAACAGACGCAAGGCAAGAACCACGAAGGCCAGGGACAAUAAAACCCUGAAGCCAGGGUGCUGGCCUCGUCCACCUGUGAACUACUGCAUCCUCAUCGCCUUAGCGCUCAAAAGCAGCCACACUGGGAGCCUCAAAGUCCAGCAGAUCUACACCUUCACCAGGCUGUUGGAGCUUCCUCAUGCUCCUCAUACUCCUUCCUGUCCAUUCCCAGAGAGCACUUCCCCUUCUUUCAGACGGCACCAGAUGGCUGGAAGAACACCAUCCGACACAACCUGUGCUUCAAUAGCAGCUUCCGCAAAACCUGCAACCAGCUGUGCAGAGACGGCAAGAGGAAGUCGUGCUUUUGGCACCUGACUCUGGAUGGCCACCGCCGGCUGAAGGACGAGAUCAGCAUGUUGACGGGAGAGUCCUUCAAGCAGCUGGAGAGGAGCAUGUCCCACCCAGAUGUAAUUCAGAGUUUAUUUGAACUCUGAUUUGAGGUGUGAAAGGCCUCAAAGAGUUAAAAUCAAU